rnacentral:tRNA from 1 species
GUCGGGGUGGCUCAGCCUGGUGGAGCGUCGGACUCAUAAUCCGAAGGUCGCGGGUUCAAACCCCGCCCCCGACA